rnacentral:rRNA from 1 species
ACACAUGCAGUCGAACGGUAGCACAGAGGAGCUUGCUCCUUGGGUGACGAGUGGCGGACGGGUGAGUAAUGUCUGGGAAACUGCCCGAUGGAGGGGGAUAACUACUGGAAACGGUAGCUAAUACCGCAUAACGUCGCAAGACCAAAGAGGGGGACCUUCGGGCCUCUUGCCAUCGGAUGUGCCCAGAUGGGAUUAGCUAGUAGGUGGGGUAACGGCUCACCUAGGCGACGAUCCCUAGCUGGUCUGAGAGGAUGACCAGCCACACUGGAACUGAGACACGGUCCAGACUCCUACGGGAGGCAGCAGUGGGGAAUAUUGCACAAUGGGCGCAAGCCUGAUGCAGCCAUGCCGCGUGUAUGAAGAAGGCCUUCGGGUUGUAAAGUACUUUCAGCGAGGAGGAAGGUGUUGUGGUUAAUAACCGCAGCAAUUGACGUUACUCGCAGAAGAAGCACCGGCUAACUCCGUGCCAGCAGCCGCGGUAAUACGGAGGGUGCAAGCGUUAAUCGGAAUUACUGGGCGUAAAGCGCACGCAGGCGGUCUGUCAAGUCGGAUGUGAAAUCCCCGGGCUCAACCUGGGAACUGCAUCCGAAACUGGCAGGCUAGAGUCUUGUAGAGGGGGGUAGAAUUCCAGGUGUAGCGGUGAAAUGCGUAGAGAUCUGGAGGAAUACCGGUGGCGAAGGCGGCCCCCUGGACAAAGACUGACGCUCACGUGCGAAAGCGUGGGGAGCAAACAGGAUUAGAUACCCUGAUAGUCCACGCCGUAAACGAUGUCGACUUGGGAGGUUGUGCCCUUGAGGCGUGGCUUCCGGAGCUAACGCGUUAAGUCGACCGCCUGGGGAGUACGGCCGCAAGUUAA